GUUUUUAAGCAUAAAGCUGAAAUAAACAGGAGGAGCUGAUUCUCGGAGCCCCUUCUGCGUCCAGGCCGGUCACACUCGCUCCAAAUAGGAUUCUAUUCCCAGGACUAACGUGCUGGCGGCACCCAGAGUGCUUGUCACCCUCCGUCUGGCAAUGCAGUGACUGUCACACGAAGACUCUUCUGGUUCGAGCCGUGUUUCUGACUGGGCGACCUGUAGGAGGAGGACUGGCCUGCUCUCUGCCUCCCGCCCCAAGGCAGCGCCGAGCUUGGGCCCAGGAGGUCAAGCAUCGAGGGUAGAAGCAGGGACACCUACGCUGCGCCUUUCCCUUGCCCACUCCGGCAACUGACAGCCCGCCUGGCUCACAUUCUGGGGAGGGACUGAAUUGCCAGAGCCUGUAGAUGCGUUUUGAGUAGAACAGGCCAGAUAGGAAGGAAGGACAGAUGACUAGCAGGAAAUGAACCAGGAAAGGCAAGAAGAAAUCAAAGCAUCUACUCAAAAAGUAUGACCUGAGAACAUUGCAUCAGCAUUUUGACUAUGAGGGAUGGGAAAGGCCAGCGGAUUUGAGAAAAAGUGAAGAAAGCAGGGACAUCCCACCCAACUAGGAGCUCCUUAAGGAAUCGCGCCACAGCCAUGUCUUUGCACCCUCCAUGGUGCUUUGCAUGAAUUGGUGCUCGAGAACAUAGAGAUGGAAUUGGACAGAAAUAAAAGCUGCAUUUUCCUGUCCAGAUAUUUACGACAUGGUGGGGAAGCACUAGGAGAUAAGACCGGUUUUUCUUCCCAACUCUUCCACACACUGACUGUGGCCUUGGGAGAAUGUUCUCACCUCUCUGGGGCUCAGGACCACAUCUGUGAAAUAAGGGGUGCAGCAGGAUGAUCUCCACCUUAUUCUAGUGAUGAGAUUUGAGAGCCCUGUAAGGUUUGGGGUUGACAUGACAAUAUUGCAACUGGUUUGCAAAUGAGCCCCAGAGAUUGAGAGCCUCAUUUGUAAACUAACAAACUGCUACAGAACUCAGGACUCUUCACUUAUUGGGUUGAGGCUGUUCUUUUCCUAUUGUCCCAUGGCCCUGUGACAGCAAACCAUAUCUCAGACUCAGAGGCUGGGCACCAAAAAGUUGAUUCUCGUGAGACCCCGAAGAUGGAAGUCUCUCGAGGCAUCCAGAUGCACAGAUCUCACCAACAUCUGCUAGACACUCAAAGGAAACAGUGGGUGACAAAAACAACGACUCUGACAUUUGUGUCAGUGUUUGGUACAUCUGACUUUCCCACAGACCUACCAUGACAUGUGUUUUUGCAAUGAAGCAUUUCAAACAUCAAUAAGGAGCUCAUAAAAGAGCCCACAAGACUCAGGCAUUUCUAGCCUUAAAACAUGUUGUUUAGUGGUGUGCCCCACACCCAAUCUCACCUCCUCAUUGCCCUGGAGGAAGCGAGCUCCCAGCCCUAUGCUCAUGGGGUAGUCCUAAGCACUCUUGUUUCCUAAACAUUUUCACAUUGUCCCCUUUUUGUGUUAGAAUUUUGGCUCAAAUACCAACAGGCUGUGUAAUCCUAGGCAAGUCGUUUAACAUAUUUGAAUGUUAGUUUCCUCAUUUGUAUUCAUCUCGUCAACAGAUAGUUAUUGAGUGCCUUUAAUACCAAGUACUAUUCUAGAUUUGGAAUUUACAGAUAGCCCUUUCUCUUUCUAAUUGUCAGAAAUCCAGACAGUUAGACAUUCGUAUGUCUUAGUAACCAACGUAUGACCUCAGCACUGUUUUUCAGUGGUUCCAAUGUAUUAUUGAGCAUACGAGGACUCAGGAGAAAAGAUGGGUCAACCUGCUUACACUACAAAGCUGUAGUAAUCAAAGCAGUGUGAUAUUGGCACAAAAAUAGGCACAUAGAUCAAUAGAACAGAAAAGAGAGCUCAGAAAUAAACCCAUACUUGUAUGGUCAAUC